AUAAGCUGCGAUAAGCUUCGGGGAGUUGCACGUAAACUUUGAUCCGAAGAUUUCCGAAUGAGGAAACUCACUUAGAGUAAUGUCUAAGUAUCAUUAAGUGAAUACAUAGCUUAAUGAGGGGAACUCAGGGAACUGAAACAUCUAAGUACCUGAAGGAAGAGAAAGAAAUUCGAUUCCGUAAGUAGCGGCGAGCGAACGCGGAUUAGCCCAAACCAAUAAAGUUUUCUUUAUUGGGGUUGAGGACAUACCACAUAUAAGAGGUCAUUAUAGACGAAGAAGUUUGGAAAAACUCAUCAUAGAAGGUAAUAAUCCUGUAGUCAAAAUAAUAAUUCUUUAGGUAUGAUCCAGAGUACCACGGGACACGUGAAACCCUGUGGGAAGCAGGAGGGACCACCCUCCAAGGCUAA
rnacentral:rRNA from 1 species